CCUACGGGUGGCUGCAGUGGGGAAUAUUGGACAAUGGGCGAAAGCCUGAUCCAGCCAUGCCGCGUGUGUGAAGAAGGCCUUCGGGUUGUAAAGCACUUUCAGUGGGGAAGAAAGCCUUGGGGCUAAUACCCUCGAGGAAGGACAUCACCCACAGAAGAAGCACCGGCUAACUCCGUGCCAGCAGCCGCGGUAAUACGGGAGGGUGCGAGCGUUAAUCGGAAUUACUGGGCGUAAAGCGCGCGUAGGCGGUCUGAUAAGCCGGUUGUGAAAGCCCCGGGCUCAACCUGGGAACGGCAUCCGGAACUGUCAGGCUAGAGUGCAGGAGAGGAAGGUAGAAUUCCCGGUGUAGCAGUGAAAUGCGUAGAGAUCGGGAGGAAUACCAGUGGCGAAGGCGGCCUUCUGGACUGACACUGACGCUGAGGUGCGAAAGCGUGGGUAGCAAACAGGAUUAGAUACCCCGGUAGUC
rnacentral:rRNA from 1 species